rnacentral:tRNA from 1 species
CACCUCCCUUACACCGAGAAGUCGUCCUUGCAAAUAGGACUGCCCUG